UACAGAGGGGGCAAGCGUUGUUCGGAAUUACUGGGCGUAAAGGGCGCGUAGGCGGCCUUCUAAGUCGAACGUGAAAUCCCUGGGCUCAACCCAGGAACUGCGUCCGAUACUGGAAGGCUUGAAUCCGGGAGAGGGAUGCGGAAUUCCAGGUGUAGCGGUGAAAUGCGUAGAUAUCAGGAGGAACACCAAUAGCGAAGGCAGCUCGCUGGGACGGUAUUGACGCUAAGGCGCGAAAGCGUGGGGAGCAAACAGG
rnacentral:rRNA from 1 species